rnacentral:rRNA from 1 species
CCCGGUAGUGGGGGAUAACGUGGGGAAACCCACGCUAAUACCGCAUACGUCCUACGGGAGAAAGCGGAGGAUCUUCGGACUUCGCGCUAUCGGAUGAGCCUAUGUCGGAUUAGCUAGUUGGUAAGGUAACGGCUUACCAAGGCGACGAUCCGUAGCUGGUCUGAGAGGAUGAUCAGCCACACUGGGACUGAGACACGGCCCAGACUCCUACGGGAGGCAGCAGUGGGGAAUAUUGGACAAUGGGCGAAAGCCUGAUCCAGCCAUGCCGCGUGUGUGAAGAAGGCUUUCGGGUUGUAAAGCACUUUCAGCGAGGAAGAAGGCCUCUUGGGUUAAUACCCCAGAGGAAGGACAUCACUCGCAGAAGAAGCACCGGCUAACUCCGUGCCAGCAGCCGCGGUAAUACGGAGGGUGCGAGCGUUAAUCGGAAUUACUGGGCGUAAAGCGCGCGUAGGUGGCUUGGCACGCCGGUUGUGAAAGCCCCGGGCUCAACCUGGGAACGGCAUCCGGAACGGCCAGGCUAGAGUGCAGGAGAGGAAGGUAGAAUUCCCGGUGUAGCGGUGAAAUGCGUAGAGAUCGGGAGGAAUACCAGUGGCGAAGGCGGCCUUCUGGCCUGACACUGACACUGAGGUGCGAAAGCGUGGGUAGCAAACAGGAUUAGAUACCCUGGUAGUCCACGCCGUAAACGAUGUCGACUAGCCGUUGGGACCUUUAAGGACUUAGUGGCGCAGUUAACGCGAUAAGUCGACCGCCUGGGGAGUACGGCCGCAAGGUUAAAACUCAAAUGAAUUGACGGGGGCCCGCACAAGCGGUGGAGCAUGUGGUUUAAUUCGAUGCAACGCGAAGAACCUUACCUACCCUUGACAUCCAGAGAACUUUCCAGAGAUGGAUUGGUGCCUUCGGGAACUCUGAGACAGGUGCUGCAUGGCUGUCCUCAGCUCGUGUUGUGAAAUGUUGGGUUAAGUCCCCGUAACGAGCGCAACCCUUGUCCUUAUUUGCCAGCGAUUCGGUCGGGAACUCUAAGGAGACUGCCGGUGACAAACCGGAGGAAGGUGGGGACGACGUCAAGUCAUCAUGGCCCUUACGGGUAGGGCUACAC